GAUGAACGCUAGCGGCAGGCCUAACACAUGCAAGUCGAGGGGCAUCAUGGCGUAGCAAUACGCUGAUGGCGACCGGCGCACGGGUGCGUAACGCGUAUGGAACCUACCCACCGCAGGGGGAUAACCCGCCGAAAGGCGGACUAAUACCCCGAUGGUUCCCCGACCCUGCCUGGGGUUGGGGGUAAAGCCUACGGGCGGCGGUGGAUGGCCCUGCGUGCCAUUAGCUGGCUGGUGGGGUAACGGCCCACCAGGGCGACGAUGGCUAGGGGGUCUGAGAGGACGAUCCCCCACACUGGUACUGAGACACGGACCAGACUCCUACGGGAGGCAGCAGUGAGGAAUAUUGGUCAAUGGGCGGAAGCCUGACCCAGCCAUGCCGCGUGAAGGAAGACGGCCUUAUGGGUUGUAAACUUCUUUACUACGCGAAUAGAGGUUAGUACGAGAUACUAAUAGGAAGGUAGUGUAGUAAAAAGCACCGGCUAACUCCGUG
rnacentral:rRNA from 1 species